UGGGGGAUCUUGCGCUAAUGCGCGAAAGCGUGACGCAGCGACGCCGCGUGGGGGAUGAAGGCCCUCGGGUUGUAAACCCCUUUCGGCAGGGACGAAGCGAAAGUGACGGUACCUGCAGAAGAAGUCCCGGCUAACUACGUGCCAGCAGCCGCGGUAACACGUAGGGGACGAGCGUUGUCCGGAUUCAUUGGGCGUAAAGCGCGCGUAGGCGGCUCGGAAAGUCGGUCGUGAAAGGCUGGGGCUCAACCCCAGGACUGCGUCCGAUACUUCCGGGCUGGAGGUAGGUAGGGGAGAUCGGAAUUCCUGGUGUAGCGGUGAAAUGCGCAGAUAUCAGGAGGAACACCGGUGGCGAAGGCGGAUCUCUGGGCCUUACCUGACGCUGAGGCGCGAAAGCUAGGGGGAGCGAACAGGAUUAGAUACCCUGGUAGUCCUAGCCGCAAACGUUGGGUGCUAGGUGUGGGCGGACAUCGACCCCGUCCGUGCCGAAGCUAACGCAUUAAGCA
rnacentral:rRNA from 1 species